UGAUAUGCGUACGAACCCGCACUACCUAUCGUCCUCUUCCCAAAGGCCAAAACACCUCUUCCAUACAAAAACCCCCAGGAGGGUUUAGGUUUCUCUCUGUUUUCGCUCCGAUUCUCUUCAACAACCAUAUGAUCUAGAGCAUUGAGGCUGUGUCUGGAUUUGAAUUAGGUGACGAGUGAUCAUAGAAGUGGGUUCAGGUACGGAUUUGUCUGUAAACAAGAUGGAUUCAUCCGAUUCAGGGUCGGUUGUGGCAGAUACUUCUGAAGCUGACUAUUCGAGUAAAGAGAGCAUUUGUGAUAACUUCACUCUGAAAGCGAAUGUGACUUUCAAGAAGUCUACGAAACGGUUCACAUUUUCUCGUUUUGAUAAACUUUCAACAUUGGAAGGCAAAGUUGCUAAAAGUUUUAAGUUAGAUGGUCAAGGGUUUCAUCUAAAGUACAUUGAUGAAGACAACGAAUUGAUAUGCAUUUGUUUUGAUGUCGACUUGAAGCUGGCUCUAGAUACUUUAGGCAGUAACAGUAUUAACUUAAUAUAUGAGAAGGCUUUUUGAUGGUUUAUAUUAGAGUGUAUACAGUCAGUCGGCAGUUAGUUAGGCUACUACAGUUGGUUUGCAAUGUCCUGUUGUAGCAGUUUAGAGGCUCCUAUUCAUUAUAUAAAGGAGGCCCAUUAAUUGUAUCUUCUCAUUCAAUCUAUUGAGGUCAUUUUCUUAA